AUAGUCCAGUUGGCAAGCCAGUUGUGAAAUCUGGCGCUGCGCUACAAGCUUCAGGUUUGUUUCAAAUCAAGUUUUGAGUUAAAUACCGAUGACAGUUUUCUUUACUUUGUACAAAUUUAAUGAUAAAUCAUAUAUAGGUGAGGCUGUGUUUGUGGAUGAUAUUCCAUAACCAUCAAAUUGUCUGCACGGAGCGUAUGUUUAUAGUGAAAAACCAUUGGCAAGAAUAACAAGUAUAAAACUCAGGCAAGAAUUGGAACUUCAUGGAGUGAAGGGUAUCAUUUCAAGUAAAGACAUUCCGAAUGGUGGGGUGAACCUUGGAGCAAAGAUUAUAUUUGGAAGCGAACCUCUAUUUGCCGAAGAGAUUGCUCAAUGUGUCGGUGAUCGUCUUGCCUUUGUGGUUGCAGAUACUUAGAAACUUGCAGAGUUUGCUGCAAAUUCCGCUUUUGUUGAAUACAGUAUUGAAAAUCUUGAACCACCUAUCCUAAGUGUUGAAGAUGCUGUUAAAAAAUCUAGUUUUUUUGAUGUUCCUCCAUCUUAUCAACCAAAAAAUCAAAUUGGUGAUAUAUCAAAAGGAAUGGCUGAAGCAGAUCACAAGAUUGUUUCUUCUAAGAGAUUGCUGAUUUCCUUGAAUGAACUGGAGAAGCUGAAACCAUUGGCUCAACAGAAGAUCAACGAGCUUAACAGUAGAAAUGCUCACUGACAAAAUGGACGGGAUAAUUUGAUGCAUCAAUGUGAUGCAUCAGUUGUUCGUGGCCUUUCUUAUUACACUGGCGUUGUAUUUGAGGUUAGACUGUACUUCGUUCCUCUCCCAUGUCCGUCGCUCCCAAAAAAGAGAAAACCACCGUCCCUGUCCUCAACAUCGACAGCGACGACGACACCUCCGCCAGUGCUGUAAUGAGCGACGUUCAUUUACCACUUCAGAUUCAGGAGCAGCAAAACCCUCCCGAAUCAAGUUCAGUUCUGUUAGUCACUGAAAGCCAUGGUUUAUGGAAAGCCGGUGACUAUGUUGUUGGUCCAACUUCUAAGCCAUCUC